rnacentral:rRNA from 1 species
GUCUACGGCCGUGCCACCCUGAACAAGCCCGAUCCCGUCUGAUCUCAGAAGCUAAGCAGGGUCGGGCCUGGUUAGUACUUGGAUGGGAGACCACCUAAGAAGACCGGGUGCUGUAGGCA